rnacentral:lncRNA from 1 species
UUCAAUACUCAUGUAGUGUUAGACACUUAGACUAUACAAGUAUCACUAGUCGAUCGACCAACAAUCAAACAAGAACAUGAUCGGCCAACCAAUGAUACCGCAUAUCUUUAAUAUCCACCACCAUUCACAAGCAAUCCCUCAAACACAUACAUGCCAACGUCAGGCCUACAAUUACCAAAUACACACCAAGCCUAAUCCGGUACCUAAACCAGACUUAGGACUUAAUGUCAGAACCUGCAAGCAAAUCAAUCAACCACAAUCACAAUAAUAACUAUGAGUAUCUACGACUCGAUCUAACUCGUAACACCGUAUAUCGGUGUUACGCUAACUCGAGGGUUCCAUAACCCUCUACGACACUCUAAACACAACACAACACACUACCCCGGGAAAUGGU